UCUAUGUUAUUAGAAAACAAUAACAAACUUGUUGGGAUGAGGUAUAUAUGUAGGUUGGAGCGCGUUGUUUGAAUAGGAAGGUUGAUUUUUCUUCUCAGUUUAUGGAAUUAGACUUUGAUGCAGCGCUUGUAUGUUGACGUUCUAGAAUUUCAAUAAAGUAUACCCCAUUAAUUAAUUAAUUAAUUCUAGGAUAUUAUUCGUGGAUUAUCAAACAUAAGAUUUUGAUUAGCCAAACCCUAGGACUUAGAAUCUCUGGAGAGACUAGAAUGUUUAAUCAUUAAUCAGUUACCAACUCAAUAUAGCACUAAUUUGUGUUUGGGCUCACUUCACAAUAUUUUAUCAUGACCAAAACCAUUAAUGUUUUAGAUCUUCAUUCAAAGGUCACCAUUACCAUCCAAAUCUAUCAAAAUAGGAUAAAUUAGUCCAGGUUUUAAUCCGUUUAAGGGAAUGUGAUAUCACUUGUAAUUAAUUCCUACCACAUAGGGGUUUUCUCUAAACUCUAUAUAUUGUAAACUUUGUACAUAAUUAAUUCAAGGAGUCAUAUUUCUACAAAGUCGGAAGUAAUUAGUCAUUUGAUUAUUGUCAUGAACAUUUCAUGUGUUUUUUGCAACACUGUGUCACAAUUGGAUAUUGAAAAUGUUCAGCAGUGUUGAAGCGCUAAUCAGUUUUGAAUCUAUUUUUGGGUAUUUGGUAGAUUUUUUCAAUGGUUUUUCUGGGUUUCUCUUAUAGUUUUUGAAAUUACGGAGCAUUUGAUGAGUAUGAAGGGAUAGAAGUUGCUUUAAUUAAACUAGGUCAAGCUCUAUGAUCUCCUGCAGUGCCCUGAAGAUCUUGAGAGGCUCUACUAAAUCCACCUCCUCAACACAUCGAAUUACAGAAACAUCAUGAAGUUCUACCCUUCCUCGGUUGAUACUGCCAACAGAAACAUCAAUUUUGUCACUGACAUGUUCACCUUUGGGACUUAAGCAAUUUCAAUUCAAUUUUAUUGGAGUGGGGACACCAGAGUUCAUGGCUGCUGAAGUAUGUGAAGAGGGAAACGAAGAAGAUGAAGAAGGAAGCAGUAAAACUCAGAUGGUGGAGACUUAGAGAGUUUGAGGGGGAUGGAGCAGCUUCUUAUGACUUUGAACCUUGACUUGUCAACAAUUCAGGGCUGCAAGAGUUGACCAAGAGAAAAGAACUCAAUUACGCUAAGCCUGUAAGCUUGUAUUGACGAAGAGCGUACAUGACCUCAUCCUGUAUGAAAUACUUCCACCUACGAAGUACGGAUACGGGAGCGGGAGUAGAGAUUUGGAGGCAAUUCCGAUUUAGAGCAUGAAAAUUCAAAAAAUCCCGAUUUGGAAGCGGCGGGGAUUCAUCUAUUAAAAAAAUAUAACAUAUAAUUAA